AUUAUUAUUAUUAUUAUUAUUAUUAUUAUUAGUAGUAGUAGCAGGAGUACUCCAUCACACGCACUAAAUUGGGGGUCGCACUAAAUUGGGGGUUGCUGUUGGUGCUUGCGAUGACGACGAUGAAAGCUUCUAUUGUGGAAGGGUUGUGAUGAAUUUUACAAGGUUUAGUAGUUGUCUUUGAUUAUUUAUAUAUUAUAAGAUCUGUGGGAGAGAGAGAGAGCGGAAGAGGGAAGAGAGGGCUUGAGGAAGAGAAAGGGAGAAGAGGAAGGAACAGUGGCGCCGGAGGAAAGGGAGACCGCCGCUACAGCUGCGCCACCGCCAUCGCGUCCUGCUGCCUGCGCCGCCACCGUCUAGCUCGAGCCUCCACCGCGCCAUACGUCACCAUCGCGAGGAAGCUCAGAACCGAGGGAGAGAGAGCCGUCGCCGUCGCCGUUCGUGCUCUGUCGUCGCUGCCGUUCGUGAACCAGACACCAUCGCCAUCAGAAGCUCUUGUCGCCGCCGAGAAUCCCAUCACCGCCAGGUCCGCCGCUGCCGAAGCCCCACGCCGCCUCUGUUUCUGGAAACCCUACUGCCAACGCUGAUCUACGGGCGCCGUCGCCGUUGAGCUCCUCCACCACCGUUCGGGUAACUGGGAACGUGGCGGUGAUCACCGGAACCACCAUCGGAGUUACCGUUAUUUCAGUUCAGCCGUUCAUACUUGUUUGGGAUUGAGUUACGGGCCUUGAUUGCUGAGUUCUAUGGAUGUUGUAUAUGGCAUCAAGGUGCUGCGUUGUCACCGGAGCUGCUGUUGCUCCGUUUGCUCGAUUAUUCGAUUGAGUUAAGGCUGUGUUUAGAGGCUGUGGCUGCUGCGGGGACGGUCGAUAUUGAUGCUGUUGCUGUGGAAUAAGAAUAGAAAUGCAGUUUUCCGCGUAGUUGAAUCACGAACGAGCUUUACCCUUUUCAGGAACCGGAUGAAGAAGCAUUAAGAAGAGAGUUAUAUUGCGUUUGGUUUAUAUGCUGUUGUAUUAUUUAGAUUAUUUUCUUCCCUCGUCUUUAUUAUUACAAGUUUGUAAGAGGGAUAGGAAUUGUAUGUUUUAUAUGUAUAAUAUAUUGAAUUAUUAUGUAAGGAGUUUUGUAUA